UAAUUUUGGCCGGUGGAAGGAGGCUACUGGAAUGUUCAGAGAAAUGUUGGAUGGUGGUAUUGCUCCGGAUGUUCGUACGUAUAAUGUGUUGCUGGAUGCAUGUACCAAGGAAGGCAAGAUGAAAGAGGCAGUGGGGGUACUUGAAGGCAUGAUACAAAGCGGUGUGGAUCCUGAUGUAGUCACAUACAGUACUCUAAUGGAUGGAUAUUGUUUGCAAGGCCAAAUGGAUGAAGCAAUCAGAGUGUUGAAUACCAUGGUGGAGAGGGGCCUUCACCCUGAUGUUUUUAGCUAUAACAUUCUAAUCAAUGGAUAUUGCAAGAAAAUGAAAAUAGAUGAGGCCAUGCUUCUCUUUCGAGCAUUGCCUCGAAGCGGGUUGAAACCCAACAAUUUAACUUUCAACGCUAUGUUAUGGGGUUUGUUUCAAACGGGUAGAUGUGGAGCUGCUCAAAAACUUUUCAAUGAUAUGCAAGCUGCAGGCAUAUAUCCAGAUUCUCAAACUUAUGGUAUCUUAUUGGAUGGGUUGUGUAAAAAUGGGCAUAUUUAUGAAGCAUUGUCAUUAUUCCACAUGAUGGAAAGCAACAGUUUACAUCUUGAUAUUGUUAAGUAUAAUAUCCUCAUUGAUGCAUUCUGCAAGGAUAAAAAGCUUGACACUGCAAGGGCCAUUUUCAGUAACCUUUCUUCCAAGAGAUUACAACCAAAUGUUAAGACAUACACUAUGAUGAUCCGAGGUCUUUGUGAAGAAGGCCUACUGCAUGAAGCUAAAGAGUUGUUUGUUAAAAUGGAACAGAGUGGUUGUUUGCCAAAUGAUGUCACUUACAACACUAUUAUCCGAGGAUUUAUUGGACAACACAAGUGCUAUGAGGCAUUAAUACUCGUUGAGGAAAUGGUUCAAAGGGGUUUUUCGGCAGAUGCAUUCAAUUUUCCCUUGAUCGUAGAUAUACUCUCAACUAAAGGACAAGAUCCUGCUCUCCGAGAAGUGAUAAAGAAGUUCAUGCCAAAAGAUAGUCAUGGAAUGCAUGAUAUUGAGUAAAUUUCUUAAGCUAUGAAGGUAUAAAAACCCAUCAUUGUUUGAUUCUUUUAGCUUAGGUCAUAGAGGAGCAACAUCCAUAGAGGAUUUUGUUUGAAGGAGCCAGGUGCUAAUUUGGGAGAUUAAUCAGAUUCUUGAUGGAGUUUUAAAGGAUGCAUAAUCUUGGACCAGGAAGAAUUUCUUGUUGAAUCCAGAAAUUUGUGAAGUAUUUGCAGUUGCGGGAGCUUGGUCUUUGUUGUUUGUUUUUCAUACAAGGCAAGAGUCAAAGUUUAAUUCAUCAUCAUUACAAUUUACAUCCCAAAAGGUUAAGAAGGGAGAGAAUAAAUUUUAAGAAAAGCAAAGGUUGCUAUCCUGAUACACAGUGAAAAGAAGCUAAUUUCCCAGACAUAUCUACAAGAAAGCUUAGAAGCAUUUUCGAGAACAAAGCUGUACAAGCAACUAAAGUCCAAUGCUCACGAAGCUCAGAUCAGUUUUACUUCCAGCAGCUGAGAAACAACAUUUAACAACAGAAUUCCGUACCUUGGAAGCUUUACUUGUCUUGCUGUGGAUUACCAUAAAGUUGCACACAAAUUUUCGUAGAAAUCUGAAUUCCGAGUUGGCUCAUUUACAUGGCUGUUUAGGUUUCCAGAGCUUGUUAAUAUAAUGGCUAUUUGAUGUCUACACUGUAAUGUGGUGGUUGAGUGAACCUAUAUUUGAAACCAUCUUUUGAGCCAGUCUUUUUUUAUUAAUUUCAUGAGCACUAUAUGUUGCUCUUAAACGAGGUGUCAGACAUGCCAUAUGUAACUCAUUGA